UUUCAGUACAGCAGAGUUCAGUGGAGGACUAGCUGAGUGUGCUGGUUCAGAGGGCACUAAUGUAAUUGUGUGAUUAAUUUACGGCUGUGCUUUUGUUUGCUGUGCAGGCUGCAGUUGGUGGAGACAGACAGCGGGAUAUGGUCACUCCUCCAGUGCUCCCUCUCCUCUGACAAAGAUGACCGCUGGCCUCUGAGAGCUGUCUCCUUCAGAGCAAGGAUGAGUCACUGCCCCCGGGUAAAUAGUGAAUGCUAUGAUGGCACUCACGUUUGAAAGACAGUGAGGUGGAACAAACAAGUCUCGCCAUGAACAUUACAAGUGGGGAAGAUCUCAGAUGGCUUUUUCAGUUGUGUGGGAUACACUUUCCUGUCUCAGGGGGUUUCACCAUUAAUCUCAUCCCUCCGCCCAUCUGAGUCUGCCCUUGGAGACACGGUGCAGCGUUGCGGGUGCAGCUUACAUCAUUUCUGCAAAGGAAGCCCACAGAAAUGACUGAGAGUGAAAUUUGUUAUCACCAGCCAACUUUCAGUGCCUUUGCCUUAGUCUGGUAUUGUACUUUCUGCACUUUCAGCAACUCCACAAUUAUUCUUCUGAAUCUGGACAAAUUAAAAGAUCACUUUCAAAUGGAUAGCAAUUUUCGGAAGAGCUGAAGAGGAUUUGGGAUUUGUAGUUAGGGUUUUUUUAACAUUCUCCCUUCAAAUUUAGUGAUUUGUACCCGAAAGGGUUUAAUACUCUACCUUCUGUUUCUGGACCCCUGCUCCGCAAAGACUACUUUGGUGUCUAUGCAAUAAGAUGUCAGCCUUUUUAAAGGCUGCUACUAAAAGGAAAACAAGUGAUGCAACAUGAAGUCACAGAUGGACGUAAAUAAGAAAACAAACAAGACUCUAAAAAAAAGUCAAAGAAACCUUGUGAUAUUUCCUGCCAUCCUGGUUUCUGUUCUACCUGAAAUUUGUUACUGAUUCCCUGUGGGAAUAAGGUUUGGCAUGAUUGUGUUGUCUGUCUGUAUGUCUCACAGUAUGCCCUCCAGUUUCAAUAACAUUUGGCAGAGAGGUAAAGGUCUGAAGGAGAUGAUGUCUUCACAAUCAUUAUAAACAUGGGUAGUUCUGUGCAGGAGGCCAAAUCUAAGUGCAUUGACUGGGAAGCUCAUGCAUGAUUAGACAGCAGAAGAUUCAAGUGAUAAAGUCUUUUCAUGUAUGCCAAUUAAAGAUUAAAAAUGGGGAAUUUAUACUUUCUUCUACAAGGUCACCUUGUAGAAGGUGACAAAAGCUGAUCAUGUUAGAAAAAAAUAUCCUUGGGAAAUUAGGUCUGUCUAGUCCUGGUGCUCGGGUACCUGCUUGUUCCUUGCCUUUCUGAAAUGUUUUAUCCACUUAGAUGACUCAUGAGGACAAGGAUUGUUUCUCGUAGACAGUCCAUACCUAGCACAGUGAGUACCAGUCUCAGCUGAGUCAAGGGCCCUUCCACAGUGAAGGCAAUUUUGUGCUGAUGGAGCCUCUUGCUAUGAAACAAUAAUACUCAGAUCAAUCAGGUUGAUCACUAAUCUUCCUUUUCUUCUCUUAGAUUCAGAUAAUGAAGAUUCUCCUUCCAAUACUCCUUUGGUAUUAGUAAGAAGAAUUAUUAUUAGCACAGGAAAUGAAAAAGCCAAAGAUGAGACUGAAACUCAUUCCAACAUAGUGAAGACUUUAAUUCUUUUUUAUGUCUUUUCCUUAAGUUUCUUUUACCUAAGACUUAAUGGACAAAGAAAGGGUGAUGCCAGUGUAAUGGGCUGGCACUUCUAGCUUGCACUUCAUUUCCAUGGAGGUAAGGGAAUAUAACAAUCAAGGGUGGAAGAAAACUGGGCAUUUCCAUACUGUCUCUUUACAGGAGAGGGGGAUGCAUUCCCAAGUGCAUCUUGUCUUCAUCUCACCAUUGCAAUCAUUGGUGUCAAAAGCUUUUAUUGUCAGGUUUUUAUGUGUGAAGAGACUGUCUGGCUGCUGGGGCAGCAUUGGCAGCUGCUGUCAAGGGCAGCACAGCUGGGGAUGCCUCCUGGAGGUCAGAGCCUGUGGGUUGCUGCGGACAGCCAAAGCACAGCUGCUGGGUUUUGUCUUAGUGUUUAAACAGAUACUCUGUUUGGUGUGGGAUGUUUCUCUCUGGACACAAAUGCAGCAGUGAGUAGUGCUUCCUUUCUCGUGGCAGAACAGCUACUGUGCAGUUUGCUUCCCUGCAUUACACUCUCUUUCUUCCUUUUCAAUAUGAUUGCAGACAGAAAGCAAUUACUUAAAUAUUGUUAGUAGGAUGAUUUCUAUGCCACUGACCUUUUUUCAGUCCUGGGAGAUCAAACAAGUCGCCUGCUCAGCCCUGCCAAGUGCAACAUCUGCCUACAUGAGCCCAGUCUGUUGUUAAACCAGCCCGUGAUGCUCCUCUGCCACUAUUAUCUCUAUCUCUCAAUUUCCCUCCUCUGUGUCUUCCCUUCUCCCACCAGCUUCUUUCCCUCAGAAGCCCCAUCUGCUUUCCUCGCAUGCCACUUUCCCACUCUCUCUUUCCCGGUGCAGCUCCCGCUCAGCCUCUUUUCCACCAGGCUGCAGCUCAGCCUGAUGGCUGCAGUGACCUUUCAAGCGCAUGUAGUGCCGUGUGUGCUGUGGAAACAUGCUCCCCUCCACGUGUCAGCACAGCCACAGCCUCUCGUAAACUUUUGACCCUUGCUUAGUCCUCUGCCAUCCCUGGCAGAAACAAUGGCAGGGUUAUAUGCCUGGGUUUCAUUACCAGUAUCUGGAGACUGCCAGGGAACGCAGUGUUGCAGCUCUAAUUACACUUACAAUGGAAGAAAAAUACUCUUAAGGCAACAGCUGCCAUUUUCUUCUUCUCUGCAUUUGUUUUCUAGGCUGUUUCUCCUCUUCUUUGAUUUUUUUUAAAAAAUUAUUAUUUAUCUUUAGGUUGCUACUCAGGAGCCAACUGUGAAAGGCUACAUCUCUUGAAUAAUACAGUGUGGCACUCCCUGAGCUGUGUAAGAAGUCCCUGUUAUGGGUGAAGGCAAGAAAGAGCAUGAAAACAGAGAAAGGUGGUUGCAGUCCUUGCGGAUGGGUGGAGAGAAGCCAGUAGCAGCAAGUUCACAUGUCUAAACUGGAGAUUUAAUGACAGAAAUAAUACCUUCCCUGAGUCCAGCAGAAGAAAAAUCCCUCCCCAGUCGGAAGCGGCACAGAACAGUGUCCAUUGCUUUAUUCCUACUAGUAAAUAAAUAAAAGUGACUUUCCAAGGAGCUUCAGUGCAACCUUCAA